rnacentral:lncRNA from 10 species
GGAGGCUGGCGGAGCUCGGCUCCCGACGCGCAGCGCAGCAGCAGCUUGGGGCCGCCGAAGCAGUAGCACUGGAAGGGGCAGGGUGCCGCGGGCUGGCUCAGCGCCGCCGCCACGAGCAGCAGCCCCUGGAGCCCCGGCUGUCCCGCGCGCGGGGCCAUCGCGGCCGCCCCCGCAUCCAGCGCCCGGGCCGCCGCGCUCACCAGGGCACCACCAACACUUAAGCCUCCAUCUUCAGGCAAGAAAGUCUGUGAUAUGAAUGAAGGGAUCAUAAAAGGCACAUGGAAUCAAAGCUUUUGGUCAACUGCCAACAAGGUACAGAGGCCCAACAGCAAUCAUCGAAUGAACUUGGAAGUGGAUCCUCUCACCCCAGUUGAGCCUUCUGAUGACUGCAGCCCUGGCUGAUGCUUGACUACAACUUCAUCAGAAAUCCUCAUGAAGAUCCAGCACCUUCCAGUUAGCCCAUCUGUGGGUUCUUGACCCUCAGAAAUUCUAUGAGAUAAUAAAUAUUUGUUGUUUUAAGUUGCUAAACUUUGGG